rnacentral:rRNA from 1 species
UACGGAGGGUGCAAGUGUUAUCCGGAUUCACUGGGUUUAAAGGGUGCGUAGGUGGGUUGGUAAGUCCGAGGUGAAAUCUCCCGGCCUAACUGGGAGGGGUCUUCGGAUACUGGCGGACUUGAGGAGAGCAGAGGUGAGCGGAAUUCUCGGUGUAGUGGUGAAAUGCGUAGAUAUCGAGAGGAACACCAGCGGCGAAGGCGGCUCACUGGGCUCCACCUGACGCUGAGGCGCGAAAGCGUGGGGAGCAAACCGG